AGGAAUUGGCGGGGGAGCACUACAACGGGUGGAGCCUGCGGUUCAAUUGGAUUCAACGCCGGAAAGCUUACCGGGUCAGACAGCAAUAUGAAGGUCAAGCUAAAGACUUUACCGAAUUCGCUGAGAGGAGGUGCAUGGCCGUCGUCAGUUCGUAUCGUGAGACAUCCUGUUAAGUCAGGCAACGAGCAAGACCCGUGCCCACAGUUGCCAGCAUACCCUCCGGGGUGAUGGGCACACUGUGGGGACCGCCGCUGCUAAAGCGGAGGAAGGUGCGGGCUACGGUAGGUCGGUAUGCCCCGAAUCAUCCGGGCUACACGCGGGCUACAAUGGUUGGGACAAUGGGCACCUACACCGAGAGGUGAUGGUAAUCUCCUAAACCCAGCCUUAGUUCGGAUUGAGGGCUGCAACUCGCCCUCAUGAAGCCGGAAUCCGUAGUAAUCGCGUAUCAAUAUCACGCGGUGAAUACGUCCCUGCUCCUUGCACACACCGCCCGUCAAACCAUGCGAGUGAGGUCUGAAUGAGGGCACGCUUUUUGGCGUGUUCGAAUUUGGGCUUCGCGAGUGGGGUUAAGUCGUAACAAGGUAGCCUCAGUCAGUCAA
rnacentral:rRNA from 1 species